rnacentral:lncRNA from 1 species
CGUGCGCAUGCGUGGCCAGCGAGGUCCAGGGGCGCAGUGGGGGGAGCCCCCGGGUGGACAUCGGCCCCUUGCCUACGCAGGGCCGCCGCGAGGAUUUUCGGAGGGUCCGCCGCCGGGUCUGGGGAACCCAGCCUUCCAUGCCAAUCUACCGCUAGCUGGAGCUGCCCCAGCCCCGCUGGUCAGGGACCCUGGGUGAGGGCCAGCUUUCCGGUUAGCAUCACCUGGGGGGAGCAGGAGCGAGAGUAGGCCUCAAAAAUGACGUAAAAAGGCGCAGGCGACUCCUGUGUGCACUGUUGGGAGAGCUGUGAUUUAUCUAUCUAUCAGUGGGCUUUCCCUGCUCUCUGGCUGGUUCUGAGGGCUGGACCUCGCUCCCCGCCACUGCCACCCCCACCCCCCAGGAUUCAGUGGUCUCCUGCUGCUAUCAGAAGUGGCAUCUCAGGCCUGCCACUUGCUUUUGGAGUUGGGUGCAGAAGUGUCCUGACUCUCAGCCCCUUGGAAGGCCCAGGUGAUUCCUGUGCCCCACAAGACUGAGAGGCGCUGCUUCAAGAGAUUACAGCUGAAUAGAAAAAGAAAAGUCGGAAAAUGAUAGCAGUGAAAUUUUUCUUUAGAAGAUGCUGUUCAAAAAUCUGCUCAGGUGAAUCUCGACGCCAAAGUGGCACCUUCACUACUGACUUCUCUCCCAGUGACUCUUUUGUCAGCUGUCGUGUCGCUGGAUUUUCACUUUAGGACCUGAACGCAGAACUUACUUACUUCCUACUGUAGAUGGCACUUUUCUCUGAGGACUCAUGCCUCACUCAUUUCUGGAACAAUUUAUGCCGAGGAUCAAGACCAUCUCUCCAGGGCUGUUUCUUUGCCUGAAGAUAAGAGGACACAAGUGGGUGACCUUCACAUUUUUUUCUCUAUGGAAUUGCCUGGUGUAGACAGAAAAACCCAACUGCAAAAACCUAACAAAGCACACCAUUUGGCUUUUGCUUAUCUCUGACUUAGCCAGUCUUGGAGAAUUGAGCAAUGAUGCCAGCUGGCGCACAGUUGAGCCUGCAUCAGCAUCGAUGCCAGUGGCACCACAGUGGGUCUCCGUCUUGCUAACGUGCCUCAUACAGGCGUUCAACGUGUGUGCCGACAAAGGAGAGCUGACAGUCAUCCUCCCAGACAGUCAGUGUGCUACCACAGUGACCAAAAGCAAAUCAAGAGAUUCCCAACUGCCAGUGAUAAGUAAAGAUGGCCAUGGAUUCCUGCUGGUGGAACCAAGAGAUCCUAACUGCCAGUGAUAAUAAGCGCUCAGUCAGUGCAUUACCACAGUGACCAAAAACAAACCAAGAGAUAUCAGUAAGGACGGCCAUGGCUUCCUGCCGGUGGUUUCGGAUGAAUGCUUUGGGCCAGAACACUUUGGGUUCUAAACACAAUCAAACACUAAACUCACUCUCUUGGAGAUGCUUAGGAAAGACAUGCAGCAGCUGCCAGCCCUGAUGUGAAGGAUAAGAGCUAUAACUGGAUACUUGGUUAAAACUUUAACUUCAUGUUCACAAAACUCCUACCUCCUAUUUAUAUGUCUGAAUGGAUUUUUCAUACCUCUGACAUUCAUGUGACCUUUUCCAAGACGAAUGGCCAGUACCCGUCUUGUCUUUGAACACACCUCUUCCUGUAAAUCUAACCACUAACAUAACUUCCAUAACAAAUUUAC